ensembl:snoRNA SNORA72 Small nucleolar RNA SNORA72
CUGUGAAUAUUCUGGCUCUUCGGAGUUGAUAAUAAUCAAGCAGGCUAAACAUAAGCUACAUAAAAACCACGCCUGGGCCUGGAGGCCUAGUUCUUAGCCUGGGUUUGAUUUAAUACAUGCUGCUGAUAAAC